UACCAGAAGCAGGAUUUGCAGGGUAGGGUUAUGUUUCUUACUACUUCAUUGCCCAGUUGUAUUUUAGCAGCGCUCAACUUGACUUACCCAGCAGUGACUGUAUAUUUCAAGUUAUCUCUGAUACACAAUAUUUAAUUUUUAAAGUUAACUUUAUUUACUGAAUUACUGGAAAACAAAAGUCCUUCUGUUUUCACUCUUGAGUAAUCACUUGAUUCAUAUAAGGAAUUCUAAAAAAAGCUCUCAACAAAGCUAUCAGCAUUGCUCAUCCCUGCGAAGCUGGAGAUUUAAAAAUACUCUGGGAGAGGGAAGGUGUAGAGGUAGAUUAUUGCCACUAACAUCUC
rnacentral:lncRNA from 1 species